GCCUUCGUGGUGUAGUGGUCAUCACGCUGGGCGCGUAUUCCAGAGGUCCGUGGUUCGAGUCCCGGCGAAGGCG
rfam:Stegodyphus mimosarum contig47823, whole genome shotgun sequence.